CGAAACCAACCCCGAAAAGAGACAUCUUAAGGACAUCGGUAAAAGACCGGUUUGAUAGAGUCGGGAUGUACGCACCAAGGCAACGAGGUGUUCAGUCCGCGGCUACUAACGUCCGAGCCACGUCUUUA
rnacentral:rRNA from 1 species